rnacentral:rRNA from 1 species
UACGAAGGGGGCUAGCGUUACUCGGAUUGACUGGGCGUAAAGGGCGCGUAGGCGGUUUGUACAGUCAGACGUGAAAUUCCUGGGCUCAACCUGGGGGCUGCGUUUGAUACGUGCGGACUUGAGUUCGGAAGAGGGUCGUGGAAUUCCCAGUGUAGAGGUGAAAUUCGUAGAUAUUGGGAAGAACACCGGUGGCGAAGGCGGCGACCUGGCCCCGAUACUGACGCUGAGGCGCGAAAGCGUGGGGAGCAAACAGG